GGUGGGGGCAGAGAACAGCGAUGCUCUGGCUGGCCUCAGCCUCUCGUGUCACUUGGUCUUCCUCAGCGUAUCGGUUCUGGGGAGCUCAGCCCAGCUUCCAGUAGCCUGCUGUGGCCUCAGAUUUUAUACUCGCUUUGCCCCUCUCAGAAAGCGUUCUCUGAGUCAGAAAAUAUGGCAGAUGGCAGUUUGUGAGAAGAAAACAGCUCUUCAGUGCCAGAUUUAAGUGAGCACCAGGAAAGUGCUGACAUCUCUAUGAGAAGGUUAUCUGCUCCCCUCUCCAGCUUGUGCCGCUUCCAGCAGUGAGUGCGGUCAGCUCAGCACCGCAGCGUGCCCGCUUUCAGAGCUUGUGGGAACUUUAUUACCUGCCUAAACAAAGUUAAGUACGGCUGAAGGAUGAGAUUUUAAAGCAUUUAUUGAUUUUCCUUUAAUAUUUUGUUAUUUCUUUUCCAUCAGUACAAUAUUUACUUUAUCUAGUGCACUGCGGUAUAAGUCUGUUCCCAGAAAAUUAUGCCCAUAAUGUUAUUUUCAUAUAUGGGCAUACAGAGAUAAAAUGAAAGAUUGCCUGUAACUCACUUAAAAUAAAUAACACAAAACACCA